GACAAGUGAAGGACAACAAAUCUUUUGAUGACCUCUGCGAAUUCAGGCAAAAGGAGAUCAGAUCCGGUUUGAUGGAGUCCUUUCAACCUGUAUAUUAUAUAUUUUAAAAUGUAUCCUUU